UCCCAAGCUCAGCUGGAGGGGAAGCUGUAUUACCAACUUCAGUGAGAUCUUUACAGGGCCCUUGGGAGAAGGAAUGCAGCUCUGUACAUUUUAGAACAUCAUUGUUGGUGCUAUGCCCGUGGAGGAGAGCGGAAAGAAAAGGAAAAAGGGAGGCGAGCACUCAGAAUGGAAAAGGAAAUUCAAUAUUCUUUUGCUGUCUUUAGAAUGGACCUUGCAAAAGGAAUGAGAUAAAAUGGAGUUUCUUGCUACACUGAGAAUGAUCUUUCCCACUGAAGCUCUAAGCCGUGUGCACUCCAGUUCUGAAUGAAAACUUGAGCAGCAUUCUGAAAAGGUUUUUGACUAAAAGGAAGAGCAACAUAGUGAGGAUAACUCACAGAAAUGACUUAAAAAAAAGAUCUCACAUCUCAAGGGAUUCAGGGAAUGUAAGAGAAAAGUAAUAAUAAUAAAAAGAAUAAAAGAAAAACA
rnacentral:lncRNA from 1 species